rnacentral:rRNA from 1 species
AUCGUCCUACGGGGGGCAGCAGUAGGGAAUCUUCCACAAUGGACGAAAGUCUGAUGGAGCAACGCCGCGUGAGUGAAGAAGGGUUUCGGCUCGUAAAGCUCUGUUGGUAGUGAAGAAAGAUAGAGGUAGUAACUGGCCUUUAUUUGACGGUAAUUACUUAGAAAGUCACGGCUAACUACGUGCCAGCAGCCGCGGUAAUACGUAAGUGGCAAGCGUUGUCCGGAUUUUUUGG